rnacentral:lncRNA from 1 species
CCAGAGAGCAAGACAACAGAGCAGCAGGGUCACACCCUGGCUUGCAGGGCCAGCUUCUGGCAACUGCCACAGGCCUGCCACACUCAGCCAUGAAGAAAGAAGGGAUUUCUUUUCCCACACAGAAACACCCCAAGCAGGAACAGAAACAGAUCUUUUGUGCCCACCAAUAUGUGUCUGUCUUGCCCAGCCUGUCAUUGUCCAGGGCUGUGGGUAGUGGAGGAGCCACUGGUUCUUGACUAGUUCUGCAGAAGCCCUGGGUCAAAGGCCUCCGCUGACAGCAUCCAGAAGUGUGUGCUUCUCCAUCCUGGCCACACUCUCAAAUCACUGGCGGAAAGGGCAUGGGAGAACACAGUGAGAAGACAGCAGUCUGAGAGCCCGGAAGAGCGCCCUCACCAGAAACCAAAUGUGUCAGCACCUUGCUCAGGGACUUCCAGCCUCCGGAACUGUGAGGAAACAAAAUGUCUGUUUUGGAGCCGCCCAGGCUGUGGGGUUUUGGUAAGGCAGCCUGAGCAGACUAAUGCAACAGCCUCAACAAAACUGCAAUCGAUGAGAAAAAAACAGUGGGCUUGAAGAAAAAAAUGAAUUCCAGUCAAAAUCUCAACAGUUUCAUUUGGGAGCUUCACUCCUCAGCCAGUGAGACCAGGAACCUACCAGAAGAAAGAAACUCCAAACGCAUCUGAAGGUCGGAAGGAGCAAACUCUGGACACGCUGCUUUUAAGAACUGUAACACCAUGAGGGUCUGCGGCUUCAUUCUUGAAACCAGUGAGAUCAAGAACCCACCAAUUACAAACACAACACCUCAACAACACCUCAUGAGCAGGCUCUAAAAGGUCCAGCAGAAAGAAACGCAUUGAACUGCGUGCAAUGCAUCGUUCCCUAGAGGUGUGUGACCGAUGACACUUUCCACGUGGGGCACCAAGCAACACUGACAGUACCGUUUGGGAAGCACUUCAGAGAUGUAAACUAGGUGACUGAGAAAUAUGUAUGGAGGGACGGUGGAAGAACAGUUGGCCACAUACUCAAUUAUACGUGAUUUGAGGUAGUGAGCUUAUGGGGACUUUUUUUUCCUGUUUUUCAUCAAUCUAUUCUCACUACAUUUACUACAUGUUAAAAGACACUCGACAUAAGUUAAAACACAAUGUCUAAAAGCCUCUGACCACUGCCCCAAUUUUUACUUAACAAGGCAUGCCAGCGGGCCCCAGAGCCUUGCCAGCACGGUCCCCACCUCAUGUUCUGGGCCCUGAUCUCAUGUUGCCGCCACAUGGUGUCAUGCGUUGUAGCACAUUUCCUGCUGUGCUCCCAAAGCAUUCACUUAGGAAAUCCACUUUGUGCUCCAUGUUGAGAUUACAGUAUGUACAAAGACAGACACUGUCUUGACUUUUUGACCUUUACUGUCAAAGGACAUGCAUGAACAGUAACAAAACAAUCAAGGCUGGUACGGCUGGAAUGUGAGGGGAAUGUGACUGUUGAGGGGCAGGCAGGGGCCAUGUGAAGGAUGGGAUUUCUUUCCUCCUAAGGGCAACAGGAAAUCACCGAUAGGGCUUUAAGCAGGAGCACCUUAAAAAAAUGACUCCAUGUCUAGGCAGCUGGGUGUAGUGGCUCACGGCUGUAAAGUCAGCACUCUGGGAGG